UACAGAGGUCCCGAGCGUUGUUCGGAUUCACUGGGCGUAAAGGGUGCGUAGGUGGUUAGGUAAGUCGGAUGUGAAAUCUCCGAGCUCAACUCGGAAAUGGCAUUGGAAACUACCUUGCUUGAGGGUUGGAGGGGGGACUGGAAUACUUGGUGUAGCAGUGAAAUGCGUAGAUAUCAAGUGGAACACCAGUGGCGAAGGCGAGUCCCUGGACAACUCCUGACACUGAGGCACGAAAGCUAGGGGAGCAAACAGG
rnacentral:rRNA from 1 species